CCCAGAUCUCUCCCAUUGAAGGCACACUCUUUACCAUCUGAGCUACCAGGGAAGGUAAAGGGAAAAGAAAAACAAAAAACCGAUAAGAACCUAGCAUGGUGUGUGCUGGCGGUAUGUAGGAGACUAAGGCAUUUCUGGAAUUUAUUAGAAGAUUAAGCAGGUCAGGUGGCAGAAGGACUUGUGUGUGGUGUGAGGCCUUUGAUCUUAGCCUUUGGCUGGAGCAGCCCCAGAUGAGGAUGUUACUCAGGGACCUGGUCAGAGCACUGCUUUCUUUGGUUUCUUCAAGACUGCUGCUGGGUCUGGACCAUCUUGGUAAAAUGAAAGAGCACUGGACUAGAAGUCAAAGAGCUGGAUUUUUGUUCAGCCUCUGCUGUGACCAGCUUUUGCUGUUUCAUUAAUAUUUGUAGAGUGCCUUCUGUGUGUGUAGGUAUUUUUCUCCCCGUGGCCCUCCCAUCUCCCUCACCCCCAGGACCUUAGAGUGGAGUGAAUACAAAGUUCACUUCAGGAUGCAGGCAUUUGCUGUGUGACUGUUGAGAAUCACUCACCCUUUGUCUGCUGUCACGGUUUCCUCUUCUAUAAAGUAGGGGCAUUAGCGUCUAUCUGUACACCGUGAGUGACAAUGACAUAAUGUACAUAAAGCUAUAGCAUGAUGAAAGCAUAAGGUAUUUGUAUGGUUGUUGUUGCUAAUAAUAAUAAUAUCCAUCAGCAAAGCAUUUACUCAGUCAAAUCCUAAUACACUGGUACAUUGUUUCCUCCUCUAUAAAGUGGGAAUGAAAAUAGGACUUAGCUCAUAAGUUACUAUCAGGAUUCAGUGAGUUAAGUUACUUCGAUGGGACAGCUACUUAGAAUGCCUGGUGCAUAUUAAGAACUCAGUAAGCGUUAACUAGUUGAACAGACUGUAGUAUUUGUUCCAGCCAAGAAAAGACUUUUUAAUGGCUCAGGAAAAAUAAGAUGGGAAUAAGCAUAGCAGGGAGGAAGAGGGAUACUUGCUGUUUAAUUCAGCUGGCAGUGAAAGAAUUAUUGGAAGCCCUUGAACUUGUUCUCAAGGCUUACUGAGUUCGAGGGGAUAUUUAAAGAGUAAAAAUCCCCAGACCAACUUACAGUAAACUAGAAGGGACAAGAAGCCAUUCAGAUAAUAAUAAGUGCUAGGUUGGAUGGUUUUGAUAUUGAGAGCCGAAGAAACUGUGUAGAACAGAGAUCGAUAAAGCCAGGAGCAUUAGAGCAGGUGAGUCUGGGAGAGGGGUUUAGGUUUGAUAAAUAACUCUUCCAGUUCUAAGAGCAAGGACUUUGGAGUGUGACAUUUAAGCCCCUGGUCAGCUGCUUACUGAUUGUGUGACCUUGGGCAAGUUACUUCACUUCUCUAAGCCACAGUUCUCUCAUCUGAAAAAAAAAAAAAAAAAAAAGUGGACUGGGGGGAGAUAAUAAUAGUACCUACCUCCGAGGGCUGAUGAGAAGAUUAAAUGGAGUACCUAUGAAAAGCUCUUCUCUGUGUGCCUGUAGCAUGGUGGGGGCUCCGUGUGAGCCAGUAUUUUUCUUUAUGAAAAGUCACGGGCAGCACGGAAGCACAGAAUCUUGGCAGUAAGGAAUUGUAAUUCUAUUUUGAAAUUUUCCAGAGAGGGAGCUUACUGCCUCAUGAGGCAUUUUUGAAUGAGACCAAAAAAGGAAAC
ensembl:lncRNA